rnacentral:rRNA from 1 species
GAUGAACGCUGGCGGCGUGCUUAACACAUGCAAGUCGAACGAAGUUCCUUGGUAGAAACCUUCGGGUGGAAAUUGAGACAACUUAGUGGCGAACGGGUGAGUAACACGUGGGUAACCUGUCUUAUACUAUGGAAUAACAGUGAGAAAUCAUUGCUAAUACCAUAUAAGCUUACACUGCCGCAUGACAGAGUAAGAAAAGAUUUAUCGGUAUAAGAUGGGCCCGCGUCUGAUUAGUUAGUUGGUAAGGUAACGGCUUACCAAGACGAUGAUCAGUAGCCGACUCGAGAGAGUGAUCGGCCACAUUGGGACUGAGACACGGCCCAAACUCCUACGGGAGGCAGCAGUGGGGAAUAUUGCACAAUGGAGGAAACUCUGAUGCAGCAACGCCGCGUGAAGGAAGACGGUUUUCGGAUUGUAAACUUCUAUCAGUAGGGAAGAAAGAAAUGACGGUACCUAACUAAGAAAGCCCCGGNUAACUACGUGCCAGCAGCCGCCGCGGUAAU